rnacentral:tRNA from 1 species
AAGGGAGACUUCAGAUAAUGGAGUCAGCAAGAGUGAAAGAAAAUGGCUGGACAACUAUUAAGAUUGGGUUCAUGGGCUAUUAGCUCAGGUGGUUAGAGCGCACCCCUGAUAAGGGUGAGGUCCCUGGUUCAAGUCCAGGAUGGCCCACUAGGGAACUCAGAACCCAGAACUCAGAACCAAAAAGGGAAGAGCAAAGAAAAAAAGGGGGUAUAGCUCAGUUGGUAGAGCGCCUGCUUUGCAAGCAGGAUGUCAGCGGUUCGAGUCCGCUUAUCUCCAGGGAACAAAUUAGCACCAUCAAAAAUGGAUGCUGAACAAAUGUUCAGUAAGAACCUUGAAAACUGCAUAGAAAAAAAAAUAGGUAAAGCUGUAGAAAUCACAGACA